GCGGGCGUAGCUCAAUGGUAGAGCGCGACCCUCCCAAGGUCGAGGCUGCGGGUUCGAUUCCCGUCGCCCGCUCCA
rnacentral:tRNA from 2 species